rnacentral:rRNA from 1 species
GGUUAAGCGACUAAGCGUACACGGUGGAUGCCCUGGCAGUCAGAGGCGAUGAAGGACGUGCUAAUCUGCGAAAAGCGUCGGUAAGGUGAUAUGAACCGUUAUAACCGGCGAUGUCCGAAUGGGGAAACCCAGUGUGUUCCGACACACUAUCAUUAACUGAAUCCAUAGGUUAAUGAGGCGAACCGGGGGAACUGAAACAUCUAAGUACCCCGAGGAAAAGAAAUCAACCGAGAUUCCCCCAGUAGCGGCGAGCGAACGGGGAGGAGCCCAGAGCCUGAAUCAGUGUGUGUGUUAGUGGAAGCGUCUGGAAAGGCGCGCGAUACAGGGUGACAGCCCCGUACACAAAAAUGCACAUGCUGUGAGCUCGAUGAGUAGGGCGGGACACGUGGUAUCCUGUCUGAAUAUGGGGGGACCAUCCUCCAAGGCUAAAUACUCCUGACUGACCGAUAGUGAACCAGUACCGUGAGGGAAAGGCGAAAAGAACCCCGGCGAGGGGAGUGAAAAAGAACCUGAAACCGUGUACGUACAAGCAGUGGGAGCCUCUUAAUGGGGUGACUGCGUACCUUUUGUAUAAUGGGUCAGCGACUUAUAUUCUGUAGCAAGGUUAACCGAAUAGGGGAGCCGGAGGGAAACCGAGUCUUAACUGGGCGUUAAGUUGCAGGGUAUAGACCCGAAACCCGGUGAUCUAGCCAUGGGCAGGUUGAAGGUUGGGUAACACUAACUGGAGGACCGAACCGACUAAUGUUGAAAAAUUAGCGGAUGACUUGUGGCUGGGGGUGAAAGGCCAAUCAAACCGGGAGAUAGCUGGUUCUCCCCGAAAGCUAUUUAGGUAGCGCCUCGUGAAUUCAUCUCCGGGGGUAGAGCACUGUUUCGGCAAGGGGGUCAUCCCGACUUACCAACCCGAUGCAAACUGCGAAUACCGGAGAAUGUUAUCACGGGAGACACACGGCGGGUGCUAACGUCCGUCGUGAAGAGGGAAACAACCCAGACCGCCAGCUAAGGUCCCAAAGUCAUGGUUAAGUGGGAAACGAUGUGGGAAGGCCCAGACAGCCAGGAUGUUGGCUUAGAAGCAGCCAUCAUUUAAAGAAAGCGUAAUAGCUCACUGGUCGAGUCGGCCUGCGCGGAAGAUGUAACGGGGCUAAACCAUGCACCGAAGCUGCGGCAGCGACGCUGAUGCGUUGUUGGGUAGGGGAGCGUUCUGUAAGCCUGUGAAGGUGUGCUGUGAGGCAUGCUGGAGGUAUCAGAAGUGCGAAUGCUGACAUAAGUAACGAUAAAGCGGGUGAAAAGCCCGCUCGCCGGAAGACCAAGGGUUCCUGUCCAACGUUAAUCGGGGCAGGGUGAGUCGACCCCUAAGGCGAGGCCGAAAGGCGUAGUCGAUGGGAAACAGGUUAAUAUUCCUGUACUUGGUGUUACUGCGAAGGGGGGACGGAGAAGGCUAUGUUGGCCGGGCGACGGUUGUCCCGGUUUAAGCGUGUAGGCUGGUUUUCCAGGCAAAUCCGGAGAAUCAAGGCUGAGGCGUGAUGACGAGGCACUACGGUGCUGAAGCAACAAAUGCCCUGCUUCCAGGAAAAGCCUCUAAGCAUCAGGUAGCAUCAAAUCGUACCCCAAACCGACACAGGUGGUCAGGUAGAGAAUACCAAGGCGCUUGAGAGAACUCGGGUGAAGGAACUAGGCAAAAUGGUGCCGUAACUUCGGGAGAAGGCACGCUGAUGGUAGGUGAAGCGACUUGCUCGUGGAGCUGAAAUCAGUCGAAGAUACCAGCUGGCUGCAACUGUUUAUUAAAAACACAGCACUGUGCAAACACGAAAGUGGACGUAUACGGUGUGACGCCUGCCCGGUGCCGGAAGGUUAAUUGAUGGGGUCAGCGCAAGCGAAGCUCUUGAUCGAAGCCCCGGUAAACGGCGGCCGUAACUAUAACGGUCCUAAGGUAGCGAAAUUCCUUGUCGGGUAAGUUCCGACCUGCACGAAUGGCGUAAUGAUGGCCAGGCUGUCUCCACCCGAGACUCAGUGAAAUUGAACUCGCUGUGAAGAUGCAGUGUACCCGCGGCAAGACGGAAAGACCCCGUGAACCUUUACUAUAGCUUGACACUGAACACUGGUCCUUGAUGUGUAGGAUAGGUGGGAGGCUUUGAAGUGUGGACGCCAGUCUGCAUGGAGCCGUCCUUGAAAUACCACCCUUUAAUGGCUGGUGUUCUAACGUUGGCCCCUUAUCGGGGUUGCGGACAGUGUCUGGUGGGUAGUUUGACUGGGGCGGUCUCCUCCUAAAGAGUAACGGAGGAGCACGAAGGUUGGCUAAUCCUGGUCGGACAUCAGGAGGUUAGUGCAAUGGCAUAAGCCAGCUUGACUGCGAGCGUGACGGCGCGAGCAGGUGCGAAAGCAGGUCAUAGUGAUCCGGUGGUUCUGAAUGGAAGGGCCAUCGCUCAACGGAUAAAAGGUACUCCGGGGAUAACAGGCUGAUACCGCCCAAGAGUUCAUAUCGACGGCGGUGUUUGGCACCUCGAUGUCGGCUCAUCACAUCCUGGGGCUGAAGUAGGUCCCAAGGGUAUGGCUGUUCGCCAUUUAAAGUGGUACGCGAGCUGGGUUUAGAACGUCGUGAGACAGUUCGGUCCCUAUCUGCCGUGGGCGCUGGAGAACUGAGGGGGGCUGCUCCUAGUACGAGAGGACCGGAGUGGACGCAUCACUGGUGUUCGGGUUGUCAUGCCAAUGGCACUGCCCGGUAGCUAAAUGCGGAAGAGAUAAGUGCUGAAAGCAUCUAAGCACGAAACUUGCCCCGAGAUGAGUUCUCCCUGAGACUUAGAGUCUCCUGAAGGAACGUUGAAGACGACGACGUUGAUAGGCCGGGUGUGUAAGCGCAGCGAUGCGUUGAGCUAACCGGUACUAAUGAACCGUGAGGCUUAACCUU